UACGGAGGAUGCAAGCGUUAUCCGGAAUGAUUGGGCGUAAAGCGUCCGCAGGUGGCUGUGUAAGUCUGCUGUCAAAGAGCGAAGCUCAACUUCGUAAAGGCAGUGGAAACUACACGGCUAGAGUGCGUUCGGGGCAGAGGGAAUUCCUGGUGUAGCGGUGAAAUGCGUAGAUAUCGGGAGGAACACCUGAGGCGAAGGCGGGCUACUGGGCUGAUACUGACGCUGAGGCGCGAAAGCCAGGGGAGCAAACAGG
rnacentral:rRNA from 1 species